rnacentral:rRNA from 1 species
AACAGGAUUAGAUACCCUGGUAGUCCACGCUGUAAACGAUGUCGACUUGGAGGUUGUUCCCUUGAGGAGUGGCUUCCGGAGCUAACGCGUUAAGUCGACCGCCUGGGGAGUACGGCCGCAAGGUUAAAACUCAAAUGAAUUGACGGGGGCCCGCACAAGCGGUGGAGCAUGUGGUUUAAUUCGGUGCAACGCGAAGAACCUUACCUACUCUUGACAUCCAGAGAACUUAGCAGAGAUGCUUUGGUGCCUUCGGGAACUCUGAGACAGGUGCUGCAUGGCUGUCGUCAGCUCGUGUUGUGAAAUGUUGGGUUAAGUCCCGCAACGAGCGCAACCCUUAUCCUUUGUUGCCAGCGGUCCGGCCGGGAACUCAAAGGAGACUGCCAGUGAUAAACUGGAGGAAGGUGGGGAUGACGUCAAGUCAUCAUGGCCCUUACGAGUAGGGCUACACACGUGCUACAAUGGCAUAUACAAAGAGAAGCGACCUCGCGAGAGCAAGCGGACCUCAUAAAGUAUGUCGUAGUCCGGAUUGGAGUCUGCAACUCGACUCCAUGAAGUCGGAAUCGCUAGUAAUCGUGGAUCAGAAUGCCACGGUGAAUACGUUCCCGGGCCUUGUACACACCGCCCGUCACACCAUGGGAGUGGGUUGCAAAAGAAGUAGGUAGCUUAACCUUCGGGAGGGCGCUUACCACUUUGUGAUUCAUGACUGGGGUGAAGUCGUAACAAGGUAACC